UUUUUUUUUUUUUUUGUGGAAAAUGGAUUCCAAUUAUAUGCAAAAUUUGUGAUAAAAAAAAUGGCCAAGUUUUUUUUCUUUUGAUUGAUCAUUAAAGAUCUUUUUAUCAUUUUGACCUAUUUUCACAAUUUAAAUAUUUGGUGCAAAUUUAAAUGUCAAAGUAUUCUCAAAUGCAUUUCUUUUUUUUUUCGUAUAUUGAUCUAUUGAUAGAAAAGUAGUGAAAUAAUCAAACGAUUUAUACAGAUGGUAGCUAUUUGAAUGUGAAAAUAAGCAUAUAGAUAAUUGAAGAGAGAUAUAAUAUGAGUUUAGGUGGAACUAUCUCUGACGAUAGAGAUAAAGUGAAAUUAUCCCUGCCCUCCGGGCUUGGUCUGACGGUUGAGAUUGCUGAAAAUGGAGCGUUAAGUCCCUGAUUCAAACCUUGCUGCCAGCAAGUUGUGGAGGGUGGGGAAUAGUCUGCGGGAUUCACUCCCUGCUGCGGGACACCCCUAAAAAAAAAAAAAAAACAAAAAAAAGUGAAAUUACCCCUUUCUUUAUCUAAUUAAGCCUAUUAGUACCUGUAUUAACCAGUAAUUCUCUUUAACAUGGUUUAUUUAAUAGUAAGAUAAUUCUCUUUAGCAUAGUUUGUUUAACGGAUGUAAUGGAUCUAAACCUGUUGAAACCCAACUAACUAAUCCCCAAUUAUUGGGCAUUAACCGUAGCAUAUAGAUUGGGUCGGGCUGGAUCAAACUCGGUGGCAGGUGAAUAAUAAAUGGAAGUCGAGUAAAGAUAAAAUAAAUUAAUUUCUAGUUUAGGUUUUUUUUAAAAAAAAAAUUGAAAAAAUAUUUUGGGUGUUUUUAAAAUAAAGCUCAUUUUCAUAAAACGUUCUUCUUUUUUCUAAAAUAUGAAGAAAUUUAACAAAACUGUUCUUUUUUUUUUUUUGUUAUUGUUUGUCAAAAUCUACCAACAAAAACAUAAAUGUUACCAAAAGGCCUCUAAUUUUUUUUUUUUUGGUUCAAAUUAGCGUGGACUGGACAAAAGUAUUGCUGUAGAAACACAAGGGAUAAGUGGAGAAUAGGGUCACAUGAAUUUACUCAUUUGAAUAGCUUACUCUUUUUUCUUUUUUUUUUUACCAUGUUUUUCAUUUUCUUUUACAAAACAACGUUAUGACAAUCUAAAUAAUGAAUUUACAAACACUUUUGCAAUAUUACAGACACUGUACUGUGAUUUCAUGGGAAUCCCAAAAAUGAUUGUAGAGGACUCCAGAGUGCACCAUUUGAAGCAUGUAUGGACUCAGCUGAAUACUGCAGCUUACAUGUUGGAUUGAAAAAGGUGUACAAGUGGUAUGUGAAAGUUUACCAUUAGUUGUCUGAAGGUAUACAAUAUAUAUAGUUUUCCAUUCCAUCCUAUUCAAACUAUCUAAGACACCCUUUUUCAAGAUACGUAAGACCAGAGACUCAGGCUAUUUGAGUCCUAAGCAAAGCAAAGAAUAGCCUCUUCCUGUAGUUUUAUGAACAAUCUAACAUUGCCAUUUUUGUCACGGUCCAAAAGGAAAAGUUUGGAAUAAGAAAUCUUGCAAGAAAGGCUAUUAGCUUUUGAUUGACAUGCUGAAACUACAGCUUAAAUAGCAGCAGCAUUGCUCGAUCGAUCCCUCCACAGAACCCCCCCUGAGAGUUUCUUGACAUUCAACCAUUUUUUCGGGGUGUUUUCAGUGCGCAUUUUGAUACAGAAGAACAUGGCAAAUAUGUUAGGAGCAGGCGGCAGAGGAGCUGCUGCUGACAGGAGAAGCCCACAUGAUGUGAUCUUUGAAGAGAUUGUGCCUUCCUCCGGUUGGACAGAGGACAAAGAUCGCCACUGUCUAAUCAUUGAUCUUCCCGGUAUAUGCCAAGAAUUCAUCUCAUUUUCUUGUACUUCUUCGCGAUGAGUUAAAUCCACGCCCCUCCAUACAAAAUAAACCCAUGCCCUGCAUGCACACAAAUACAUUAUUGCUUUUAUAUGCAAGCCUUUAACGCAUGGAACUAUGAAUAAGGUUUCGACUGUCCAUUCAAGAUGGAAGCGUUUGGAUUUAGCCCCUUUUCUGUUUGUGCAUGCUUGUUUCUUUGCUUGAAGGUGAUGAUCUAAGUUGUUUGAAGGAAUACGUGUAAUCUGAACAUGUUGUUUUCACUAUCUUAUUGAAGGGUUCAAAAUGGAUGAGGUGAAGCUUCGAGUUGAUAACUACGGGCAUUUAUUGGUAAGUGGAGAAAGGCAAGUGAAUGGGAUAAAACACAUCCGGUUUCAGCAAUCUUAUCGAGUUCCAGACAAUUCAGACAUCCAGGAGGCCACUGCUAAGUUUGAAGAUGAAAUCCUUUACAUGAUCAUUCCCAAGACAGCUACAGCAGAAAACGAAAGUAACCGCGAGAAAGUCACAGUACCACAAACUGAUCAUAUACAGGAAGAGAGCCAACAGAAGAAUGAUUUAGACAGAGAUCAUCAAGUGAUUGAUGAUGAUCAAGACAAAAUCGACAAUCACCAGAGGACUGAGAAGGGAUCGAGCGAAGAUCCGAAAAAAGAAGAAGAUUGUGAUGGAGAGCCAGAAGAAGAAUUUCAUGAUGCAAGGAAAGAAAGUGUGUGGAAUGAGAGCAGCCUGUUGGAAACACUAAGACUGCAGUUGAAGAAGAACACAGGGAUAGUUGUCACAGCAGUCUUAGCAUUCUCCUUGGGGGUUUUCGUCUGUCAAAAAUUCCAGACAAAUCCUGAAAAUUAAGACAUGACUUCGAACAAGUUCCUAUUGAUUAAGGGCCUUGGCGCUUGAUCACAUAAUGAUGGAUUUGAUUCUAGCCAUUCUCGUUCCCCUUGUUCUUCUUCAUACCUUCCCCCAUCUAAAAAUUGUUACUAUAAAAGUUUAUAAAUUCCAAAAUAAAGUGUACAUCUAUAGUUUGAAUCCUAUAUCUCUGAUUAUAUUUAGCAGUAUCUUAAAUAUAAUUAAUUCGGUUUGCAUCUUGAGUUUAGUACUAGUUGAAAAGAGUUAGGGGAUUAGGGAGGGGAAUUGAAGGAGAAGGAAGGGAAGGUGGGGAAAAGAGUCAGGUUUGCCAGAAAUAGGGAAUUAAGAUGGAACCAGAUUCCUUUUGAAAAGAGGAAAAACAAAAACAAGCAAUAAUAUUGCAGUGGUCUGAUAGCUGAUUGGAUGGUACAAGGAUUAUCGGUGGGCUGCUGCUGCUGACCUGAUUUUCCAUUCAUCCAUGGGAGGGGAAUAUCCAUCACAUAAGCAUCAAUUCAAAGAUGUCUUUAUCCUAAAAGGAUCAGAUUCCAUAACUAGUCACACCAAUUCAGAAAAGGCGAGGAAGCAAUGCAUAAACAUCCCUCUCAAGCUACCAGCUAAAAGAGAAAGAAGCUUCAUUGACAUUCGAGCCAAAAGUGCACGUUUAAAACUGCAGAAAAAACAUUUUCUAUAAGAAACAUAGACAAGAAACAAAGGAUCAUGUCUCUAUCUAUCAAUGAUAUUGAACAGUUACAGGAGGCACAAGCAUUCAGGAAGUAUUAUUAUUAUACCAGCAAACCUUCAUUGGUUGCAGCAUUUGGACUUAGAUUAGAGACACCUAAACAUCAAUGUAUACCCUUUCCAUCCACUCAAGAUAUUAAUCAGACAGCAAAGUCAGCCAAGAGUAUUAGGAGCCAUAGCAUAGGAAGAAACAUUUUCUUUCGGGACAGAUGUACCUCUUUUCGUCCUACUGCAACCAAUUAAUCUACAGGGUGCAAAACCUUGACUAGAUUGGGAAAGCGCAUCCAAGUGCCCUCAAAGACAACGAAGUUCAGGACUUUUGGUCCAUUUACACUGCAAAAUUCCGAAGAAAUGAUUAACUGUUUUAGCCUUCCACCUCCUGUAUGACACCAUAAGUCAGCAGGUUUUUGGGAAAUCCCGAUUAUACCUGGGCCAAACACAAUCUAAUCUUGACAGCUAUUAUGUUGACAAAGAGUACUAGUACAGAACAAAGACUUUCAAGGGCCCUACUGAAGCAAUAAAGGAGAUGCUUUUAUCCUCAACUUUUCUCAAAAUGUGUUUGGAGCUUUUGACAAAAAGGAAGACAGAAGCUGUUGGCAGAGUAGAAUAGAGGGGGUGCUAGAAUCAGGCGCCUUACAGAAGCAUCUUGUUGCUCUACACAAAAUCUCAUUUAUAUUACAAGAAGUCCGUUUCAAGUCUAGCUUUACACAUUACCACUAUGACAUGAGCUAUCUACAAGGCCAUAUCAGAGAUACAGUAAGAAAUAAGCUACCAGAUGGAGAAUAUAUUCCUCUGCUCUGGCCGCAGGAUAAUGAUCAGAAUUCUUGAACUGCAGAGAAAAAUGAUCAGAAUUAGCAACCUAAUACGAAUUAGGAACUUCAUCUGCCUUCGAAUCUUUCUAUUCAAACUUCGGCUCCUUUUUAUUUUUUUCCCACUGUUUUGUAGAAUAUAAAUUUUCAUCUCAAUUACUUCUUUAAAAAAAUAAGAAACUACAUACAUUCUUCAAAUCCAGCUCCAGGAUCUUCAAUACAAAUCAGUUUCCAUGUUAAAAAUUAGGCCCUCUUCAAAACUUUGUCAUCAGAAUAUUUUUAGUUAGGAGCUUUUUUCAGGUGUCAAGAAAAGUGGACAUAGGAUAUCAUAUACCCAUAAGAUAAUCCAAGCCCCUAACCGGUAGGUUCUGUGCAACAGAUCUAAAUAGUAAUGAUACUUUUAAAUGUUAGAUUUUGUGACUGUUGGAGAAUAACUUCAGACAAAAUCCAACUCUGCCUUCCUACAAACAUUCACAGCACAAAAAUAGCAGUCUUGCAAACUGCAAUGCCAUCCCUCCUCUUUCCUAAUCACUAGUUUCAUGAAAUCACAUUUAUCGUAGUUUAUUUAUACACCAAAUUAUUCAUCUACAACUCAUAUAAGAAAAAGGAAAACCAGUAAAUGAAAAGUUGCCACCAUAGAGAAGUCCACUUAUUUUAGAACCCAAAAAGUAGUGUGUUAGCCAAAAAGUAUAGAAACCUUCAGCAGAGAGCAUGGAAUCAGUCUCUCUCAUACACACAUACCCACACAGAUCAUCAAAAGAAAGCAUUAGCAUUCAGCAACCAGACCCCAAAAACAUCCCCAUCCCACCACUGUCACAGUUCCCCACCCCCUAAAAACAUUCCCCAAUGCCAUAACAGAAAGCACCCCCAUUAAAAAAAAAAACCCAGAAAUUAGUGGAAAAACUCACGUAGAAAGCAAAACAAAAACCAUGCACAGUGACACUCACCACUGAAUGCAAAAACCCUCAGUCCAAAAACUAAACACCUCCAACAUCUCCUCCACUUCCACCCACCACCUAGCACAAGGAUGACACCAUGACAAACUCCACGGCCCAACCGGACCAGCACCAGCCUCCGCAACCAGAACAGCCACCAAGACCCCCACAAGUUAUCCGGAAACUUAUCGUGGAAGUUGUGGAGGCCCGCGACCUCCUCCCGAAAGAUGGCCAGGGCAGUUCAAGCCCAUAUGUCGUCGUGGAUUUUGACGGCCAAAAGAAAAGAACUUCCACUGUCCAGAAGAACCUCAACCCUUCUUGGAACGAGACCCUCGAGUUCGUCGUCUCUGAUCCUUCCACCAUGGAAUACGAAGAGCUCGAGAUUGAGGUUUACAACGACAAGAAGCUCAGCAGCGGGAAUGCAAGAAAAAACCAUUUCCUCGCGCCGAGUUAAAAUUUACGGCAGUCAGUUUUCUAAGAGAGGUGAAGAAGGGAUAAUUCAUUUUGCACUUGAGAAAAAAAGUGUGUUCAGUUGGAUUAGAGGUGAGUUGGGGCUGAAGAUUUAUUACUAUGAUGAGCUAGAGGCCCCGCCUGAGCCACCACCUCAGGAGGAACCCCCACCGCCGGCCCCGGCGCAGACGGCGGAGGAAGACAAGAAACCGCCGGGUGUCGCUGUGAUCGAGGAAUUGCCCCCGAUGAGGAUUUUGGAGGUUCCGCUACCGACGGAGAUUGCUAUGGAGGUGAAAGAUCAGUCCCCGCCGGUUGUUACGAUUGAGGAGUCUCCUCCACAGCCACCGCCGGCCAAUGCGGCUCCGCCGGAGCAUGUUAGGUAUGUGGAGGUGCACGUUCCGCCGGUGAUGGAGUGCCCGCCGGAGGUGAGGAGGAUGCAGGCCGCGGCAGUCGGGAGAUGUAGCGAGAGAGUUAAGGUCGUGAGGCGACCAGCGAACGGAGAUUACUCGCCGAGAGUCAUUCCCGGGACCGGCGAUGCAUCGGAAAGGAUUCCAGCAUACGAUCUUGUGGAGCCGAUGCAGUAUUUGUUCAUUCGGAUCGUGAAGGCCCGCAAUCUGGCUCCGACUGAGAGCCCGUAUUUAAAUAUCCAGACCUCCAGUCACUCCGUCAAGUCUAGACCCGGGUCAACCCGACCCGGAGAGCCUCCAUCCAACCCGGAAUGGAACCAAGUGUUUGCUCUAUGCCACAAUAGAGCGGAGCAUUCCCGUUCAACCCUCCAAAUCUCGGUCUGGGAUCCUCGUCGGAAAGGUUCCUCGGUGGCGUUUGCUUCGACCUUUCCGACGUGCCUGUGCGUGACCCACCGGAUAGCCCGCUCGCUCCCCAGUGGUACCACCUUGAUGGCAGCGGCCCCGGCGGAGGAGGUGAUGGCCGGGACAGUGUCCCGGCGACAUUCAGCUAUCGGUUUGGAUAGGAACUCAGGCCGACGAUGCUUUCCCGGAAGCUUGGAGCUCCGACGCCCCUCCAAACCACGUGGCUCAUACGCGCUCAAAAGUAUACCAAUCUCCUAAGCUAUGGUACUUGAGAAUUACAGUGAUUCAAGCUCAAGACCUCCACAUUACUCCGAAUUUGCCCCGCUAACCGUCCCGGAAAUUCGGAUCAAAGCACAACUCGGGCUUCAGUCGGUUCGGACGCGGAGAGGGUCCAUGAGCCACCAUGCUCCCGCGUUUCACUGGAACGAGGACUUGAUCUUUGUAGCCGGAGAGCCACUGGAAGACAACCUGAUAAUAUUGGUAGAAGACCGGACGGGUAGAGAUCCGGAAAUUCUCGGGUACGUGAGGAUUCCUCUAGUCUCGGUUGAGCAGCGGUUCGAUGAGCGGCACGUGGCGGCGAAGUGGUUGGCGUUAGAGGCGGACCAAAUGGAGCCUACCGUGGGAGGGUACAAUUGAGAAUGUGCUUGGAGGGAGGGUAUCACGUGCUAGAUGAGGCGGCGCACGUGUGCAGCGACUUCAGGCCUACGGCGAAGCAGCUGUGGAAGCCGGCCAUUGGGAUUCUGGAGCUCGGGAUUUUGGGCGCUCGCGGAUUGCUGCCGAUGAAAUCCAAGGGCGGAGGGAAGGGGUCCACAGAUGCUUAUUGUGUUGCCAAGUAUGGGAAGAAAUGGGUCCGAACCCGGACCGUUACGGACAAUUUUGAUCCACGGUGGAAUGAACAGUACACCUGGCAGGUGUAUGAUCCGUGCACCGUUCUAACCAUCGGAGUAUUUGACAACUGGCGGAUGUUUGCUGACGCCGGAGAGGAGAAGCCGGAUUAUCAUAUUGGGAAAGUUCGGAUUCGGAUAUCCACGUUGGAGGGUAAUAAGGUGUACACAAAUUCGUACCCGUUAAUGGUUUUGUUAAGAAACCGGUUAAAGAAAAUGGGUGAAAUCGAGGUGGCGGUUCGAUUUGCCUGUCCGUCAAUGUUUCCGGAUACUUGCGCGGCGUAUGGGCAACCUUUGCUGCCGAGAAUGCACUAUCUCAGGCCACUGGCGAUAGCUCAGCAGGAGGCAUUACGAGCGGCGGCCACUAAAUUGGUGGCGGAUUGGUUGGGGCGAUCGGAGCCGCCGCUCGGGCCAGAGGUGGUUCGGUAUAUGUUGGAUGCGGACUCGCAUACAUGGAGCAUAAGGAAAAGUAAGGCUAAUUGGUUUCGGAUAGUGGCCGUACUGGCUUGGGCGGUUGGGCUGGCUAAAUGGUUGGAUGAUAUCAAAAGAUGGAAAAACCCGGUUACGACGAUUCUAGUCCACAUAUUGUACUUAGUGCUAGUGUGGUACCCGGAUUUAAUCGUGCCGACCGGGUUCUUAUACGUGUUUCUUAUCGGUGUAUGGUAUUAUCGGUUUAGGCCGAAAAUACCGGCGGGCAUGGAUAUCCGGCUUUCCCAGGCCGAGUCGGUCGACCCGGAUGAGUUGGACGAGGAAUUUGAUACGAUUCCGAGUUCAAGACGGCCGAAAUUAUUAGAAUGAGGUAUGACCGGUUGAGGCUGCUGGCAGCAAGGGUCCAAACAGUUUUGGGAGAUUUUGCAACUCAGGGUGAAAGGGUCCAAGCAUUGGUGAGUUGGAGGGACCCCAGGGCCACCAAAAUUUUCAUAGGAGUGUGCCUUACAAUUGCAGCGGUGCUCUACAUGGUGCCACCAAAAAUGGUGGCAGUGGCCCUUGGAUUCUAUUUUCUGCGGCAUCCCAUGUUCAGGGACCCAAUGCCACCAGUCAGCUUGAAUUUCUUUAGGAGGCUUCCCAGUUUAUCUGACAGGUUGCUGUAGUUUUGUAGUAGAUUUUUUUUUAAAAAAAAAAAAAAGAAAAAAAACUAUUUAGAAGAUUAAUAGAGAGAGUGGUCAAUUUUUGGCGCCAGGAAUUGUGGGACUGAUGGAAGAUCAUUUGAUGAUUGGUGAGUGUGAAACUGUGUCUGUUUGGGCAUGGGAUCUGUUGAAAAGUUGAUUGAUUAAUAACAACAUGGGAAGAAGUGAAAAGUGAGGGAGGCAAGUGGGAUUUGGAGCUUUUUGUUGUUUGAAUUCAUUGACUAACUGUUGAAUUGAAAUAAGGAAAAAGGGUAGGGGAAGUAAUAGCCAUAAAGGGUUUGGGGGGAGUUUAGAAAAGAGGGGCAGAGAUUUGAAAUGAAGGUUACUAGGGCUGUGAUGAUGUCCUGAAAAGCACUAACAUAUUGUUGUUGGUUUUGCAUUUUAACAUCAUCAAAUGUAAAACCAUUCUAGUACUAGAACUUUUGCUGCAAAGUUCAUAGUUUAUUAUUUAUUUUUUAGAGCAAAUUUUACUUAAAAAAUUCAGUGUAACUUAAUUAAUUCAAAUUUUUUUAGUUCUCAAACGCAAUUGAACAUAUUUAUAUCUGAAUUUAUUAAGAUUAAGUGUUGAAUGGAAUUAUAGGUAUACCAAUUUUGCAACUUGCAAUGCCUUUUCAAGAAUCUAUUGGUUAGAAACACUUUCAUAUCCAAUUGCCCCUUCUCCUGCAACUCAAUGGUUCUUGUCCAUAUUGACCAAAAAAAAAAAAAAACCAAUUUUGGUUCCUGUGCGUAAAAUUGGGAGGCAUGUUUUAUUAUAGAAUAAAUCUUAUAUACACUGACUGACAGACAGUGUAUACACUAUCAUGACUAGAUGCAUCAUCUUAUGUUUAAGCUACUUGUUUUGGUGGAUGGCGAAUGAAAGUUAACACUAAUAUGAUUUACUGCAAACCAUCGUUCUUUAAUUAGGUAGUUGUUGAUCAAUAUGAUGAUGACUUUAAUUGCAAAUUUUGUUUUUUCUUUUAAAAAAAAGUUGAAAAUUCAUGAGACCUGGAAAAUGAAUGGGGAGGAUGGAGUAAUAAUCGUCUGGCUUGUGGCCUGGAAAGAAAGUGGCAGUUAGGAAGAAGCUAAUUUUUCAAGGGUCACUCAAAAGAUGACUAAAAAUAAAGGGAAAUAAAGACCACCAAAAGGCAGAAUUAGGGGCUUUGAGUUUCUAUUUAAACGUUGAUAAUAACCUUCUAAGCUUUUAUCAUGCCACUGUGAAGUUUCAAAGAUUACUAAUCUCAGGUCUGUCAAAUACUCAGUUUUUACUGCUUAAUUGAAUCUUACUGCAGCAAAAUUACUUGUUCAAAUGUCAAUGGCGUUGCUCUCAGGCUUCAUAGCCCAAGAACAAAAAAAAAAAGCAAAAUCUACCAUGUAAUCUGUUUCCCAAUAAUGCUGAAUCUUGUGCAAUUCUUGUGUUCUGUUUUCUCAUUUUUCAUCAGACUCUCAAAUGCAAUUUCAGCAUUUUCCCUUCAGUUAUUUGGUCCCCCUGUAAAUGCAUGUUGGAAUCUGAGCUGACAACCCUCCAAAUAUUGACAGAUUCAUAAGAGAUAGUCAAGUAUAUGAAGAUACAACACCUUGUCUGUGAUUCUGCUUGUACAAUCUGCAAAUUUUCUUAGAAAUGGAGGGGAAAUUUACUUGCCUCUUCCCUUUUUUUUUCUUUUUUUUUGGUUAUUGUUUUUUCAGGCAACAACAAUACAUUAAGGCAUGGGAGGGACUGAGGAUUCAGGCAAAAAUGAGUGUGCAACCAAAACUGAGGAGGACAAGCAUGAAAAGAAGGAGAAAUCGAAACACAAGGAUGAGGAUGAGAAAGGAGCAAAAAGUGAAGAGAAGGCCAAGGACAAGAAGAAAGACAAAGAUAAGAAGAAGAAGGAUCCUGAAGAUAAGAAGGAUCUGUCGAAAUUAAAGCUUAAGCUUGAAAAGCUUGAUGCCAAGAUGCAGGCUUUAGCAAUUAAAAGAGAAGAAAUUGUCAAGCUUAUCAGUGAUGCUGAGAAAGCUGCAGCAAAUCCAACUGCAGAAGCUGCCGCUCCACCUCCAUCUGCUUGAACAUUUCUGCGAUAGUGCAAGAAAUUUAAGAUCAAGAUCUGUAGAAAUUGGAAGAUCUUAUCUGUUAGAUGCCGGAAAUUGUGCUGAUAUGUGUAAUAGCAUUAGGAAAACAAUUUAUUCUGAGACAAAGUUGAAAGUAGAAAGUAAGCUUGUGUAUGUAUCAAAAGUAGAAUUUCCAUACACGAACAGAUGAUGAAAAUGCAUCUAAACGUUAUCCAGACUGGGAUUGUAGAUUAUAUAUCUGAAAAAUAAACCAUGGCCUUGAGUGAUGGAAUUGAAAAUAGAAGCAAACCUAGUUUUCACUCAGGGACCAUUUAGUUGUGGCGUGAAUAUGAUAUUGCACUGAUAUCCAGACUGCAUAAAUUCUGGAUUUGCUAAAGUGGAUGCCAUAAGGCUAGGAGGCAUACCUCCUUGAUCCUUCCUCAUGCCCAUACUUCAAGAUUGUUCACACCAUUUUCACAUUUAUAUGGUAUUUUUGUUGUCCUGAUUAAUAAUAAUUCAUGUUAAUUUACUGGAUGAAAAAAAAGAGAGAACCAGAAAAUAAAAGCUGUCAGACCACCUAAAUCACCAUUCCAAUGUAAGUAUCUCUAGUACAUAUUGUGAGAAAGCUAAAAAUCAUCUUCAUUGUUGAGGAAGUUGACAAAGAAUGGUGGCUUAAGUAUACAAAUCAGAAAAUUAGUCAAGCUUGUAGCAGGACUCAAGAGAAACACUAGAGCGUGUCUGAAGCAGGUGAAAGUACUAUCGUUUCUACAUGAUUAUCAUGAUGAAUUUAAUUACGACUGCAGAGAGAUAUGAUUCUUCCUAAAAUGAGUUGCUUAUUCUCUUCAUGUGUUUACAGAGGAUGCCUAACUCGUUGACCUAAAAUACUAGGAAGCUUCCUCCAAUAGAUGUAAAUCCAGCAGGAAGUUUCCCAUUUUAACAGCUUCUUUCCAAUUUUCUAACAUAAAUUCCUUCUGAGCAAACCGGUGAAACCCCAGCAUGAAAAUUUUGAAGCAGCAAUGGGAAGGAAGCCUGGAUUUUACUCGGAUAUCGGAAAAGGUGCCAGAGGUAAUUUCAGUAAUGCUUCAACUUUCCUUCAGCUUAUUCUUCAAAACAAAAUAUAGCAGUGAGAUACAAAAUUCCGUUUACAUGUUUUGUUCUCAUUAUACUGAAGCUAUAAGUUCAAGAUUUCAGGUAUUGGUGCAGCAGAUAUUGCAAAAUCUUUAUAGUCCUCUAAUUUGUUAAGAAUUUUUAAAGCAAACAUAGCAGAAUUCUUUAUACAUGAAUGUAGCAAUAACCUGUCAAAUGUUCCUCAGGACUUCUGCACGGGUACGUGCAUCAGCCACCAAUUCAUUAUCGGCUCGGAUGGUUCAACUUGAGUUUUCAUCUCCUCAGUGAGAGUAUGUUCCUUUGAUCUACAGUUUACAGAAGCUUUAGGCUAUAUUUCCUGUUCAAUUUUGUUUUUCCAUUCCUGUGUAGCAUAUGUUUUCAUUGUGCUUCCUCGAGCCCAUCAAUAACAUGUCCAAGCAAGUAAUGGGCAACUUUUUAUGUUGUCAACUGAAAUUUUGGACAAAAUCCAAACUUUUUUCACUUAAACCUUGUGCUUUUUUGUAAAUUGCCCAGAAAUCUCUUGGAUCAAGGUGCAUUUUGUUGAUUGAUUGUAUCGUUUCCCAUUUGUGUUUUGUACGAGGGAUUGAACUGCUUGACUAACUCAUCCUUUGACGAAAUUGUGCAAAGAUCCUUCUUUUGUCACAAGAAGGGGGUUUUGAGUACAUUUCAUCCAAGUACACUGCGCAGGAAUGUGAAGAUAUCAUAGUUUUGCAGCAGCUUGUUCAUAUCUCAGGAUCUGCACUUAGAACUAGUUUCACCAAGUUUGUUAUUCUGUUUGAUGAGAUUUACUAACCACCUAACAUGCAUUCCUGAGAACUAUUCCAUUGUUUGCAGUGAAUGAGCAGUUCCUUGGGCAAUCUGUUCAUUUUAACAUGGCUAAGGAUUUAUGCAAAAUGAUCUGAUAAAACUUAAAUGGAAUCCAUCAUGUUUAUUGCCAUGUUCAUGGAGGCAUCUAACAUGCUUUUGCACCCCCCAUUCUUGGCCUGUCUGACAACUUGCUUGCCAUAGCACUUCAGGUAUCAAAACGCUAGGUUGAUUAGUAGCCAACCUGAUCUUCUCUGUAUUGGUGUCAACAAGCAUAAUUUGUCAGCAAUAGAUCUUCUUUCAAGAAUCCCAUCUGACAAAAAAUUGCCUAAGCUUUUGUGACCAAACAUUUGAUUAGAUUAGGAACCUAAUCUAAUCCCCCCAUCCCAUGUACCAAAUUUACCUAAAAAAGAGUUACUUGUACCUCUUUACUUUUGAGCUUGGCUUCAAGACCAAAGCUUCUCUUGGUGGUGGUGUCGUGGUAAGGGGUUGAACCCUUAUCUCUCACCUUAUCACUUAAUUGUAGCUUUCUCCGACGGAAAAAUUCCGUCGACUCAUUCUCCUUUUAGACUGAAUUAGAGUAAGUUAUACAAAUAUUAUUGUUGCGACAAAAAAAAAAAAAUCAAGACCAAAGCUUUUCUACGCUACAAUAAUAAAAUUUUUUAGUUUUCUUAUUUCUAGUCCCCUUGACAUGAAUUUGUUGUUAUCUUUAACAUGAUCACUUUCAUCUUUCCAUUUGUCCUUUUCAGUCUACUAUUGAGGCUCCCAGCCUUCUUUAGAACCUUUGCUUGACGGCAUCAAACACUGAAUGCAAAGUGUCACCUGUUGUAUUGUAUCUUACCGGCCAAGUGCUUAUCGUGUAUGAUGAUAGCCUUUCAAGAAAAUGAAAGGCUCAUUUGAAAAAACAUCAAAGAACCAAAAAAAAAAAAAAAAAGAUUGCAUGAGCCCGUCCCUACUUUUUUUUUUUUUUUUUUGGUCAAAUACCCUUAGCUUUUUUUUUUUUUUUAUUUAUCAAAUGAGCCCUACCCUACUGGAAAUGAAAUAUUCCCUCCAUCGUAUGUAUGUCUAUGUAGUAAGCAUGACAUGCUUUCCACAUUGAAAUAUCCUAAUAUACUUGCUACCUUCCUUUAAAAGCAAUUAAUAUUGGACUCUAUCGCAUUUGACAACUACAGUUUUCUAGAACUUUGAGCAAAAUCAAAUAAUCAGGAUAGGCAGAGAGAGUAAUUGAUCUUACGGAAGAUAGCCACAUCUAAAGGUGUAAAUAAAUCGAACGUACUUAGGGUCUCGUAAAUUUGCUCGAUCAAAAUUCGAGCACGAGUUCAUUGAUUGAACUCGAGCCAAGUUUGAGCAUCUCAAAUAGUUUGAUGAAUUCAACAUCCAAGUGAGGCUCGAAAGGUUGUUACGUUUAAUGAAACUCAAUCAAUCUUUAAAAAAAAAAAUACAUACAUACAUAUACAUAUACAUAUAUAUGUGUGUAUAUAUAUAUGUAUGUAUGUAUGUAUGUAUAUCUUUAAAUUUUUGGAUAUUUAUUAUUAUAUAUGUAUAUCAUAGUGUAAGACAUUCAUUUAUACUAGUUAAGGUUGAUUGAGUUCAACUCGAUUUCGAGUAAGCAAAAAUUAAACCAAAUUCAAACUCAAUUUUAAUAACUCGACAAAUUUGAACCUCAGCUAGAACACAGUUCGUUUACACCUUUGUCCACGUCCAACUAAGAUAAAUCUUGUGGACGAAAAAUUAACGCUAACUGCAUUUUUUUUUUGGGUCUAAAUGUAAUACUAACUAAGAUCUAGUCCUUUACCAUCAAAUUUCUAACUUCUCACCAUACAAAUGAUCAACGAUCUAGAUCAGUUAUCAAUAUUAAAUCCUGUUUUACCCAACAAGACUUGGUCAGCCACCUGAUCUCACCUCACCUCACCUCACAACUCACAAGUAGCCAAAUAACCUGGCCAUGGUGGGCAAUACUAUUGUACAGCAGUUGCCUUCAAAGACCAUAGAUCAUGACCCAUCACAAUCAAGGACACCGUCCACCUAGCAAAAACUCACUAGUGUACUUUGGAAUCUUCCUUAGUUACGUUAUGCAGGACCACACCUGAUGUGGACUUUGCUGCAUCGAUGUGGCAAUUCUUGCAGACUUGUCCUUUCUCCUAUUGGUUGUUUGGUUUUGCGGUCCACAAGAGCUUGGGCCCUCCCGACUUUCAACUAUCUUCCGUGUACUCGUCUGUCUGUUGAUUCUUUGAUAGUAUAAGUACUAAUAUUUUAUUCUUUUCUUUGAAUUUUUUUGAUGACAAAUGGCACCCAUUCCUUUCGUAAUCCAAUGUCUUCCUUUUUUUAUCCCUUCCACUAUAAACAUAUAUUUUUUUUUUCUGCAGAAGAACUUGAUUUUUGUAGAUCAUUCAUUUCUUUUCGGAAUUGUUCUCAAUUAAAUUUUUUUUUUGCAAAGAUUAAUUUUUGAAAAGUCAGAAUCAGAAUCCAAACGAAAAAAGUAUUUUGUAAUUUUUGAUUGUUUAUGGAUAAUUUUUUCAUACACUGUUGAUGUGCAAUUUUUUUUUUUUUUAAUACUAGUAGGUUUUGAUCAUGUCAUACUAAAUGCAGAGAGCCCUUCAAAUGAGACCCAAAUCCUCAGUCCUCUUUUUUUUUUUUUUUGUUAAAUUAAAUCUUUAUGUUUAUGAUUCUGUUUAGAAUUAAUCUUAUAUAUACCGUCAUUGUAUAUACGAUCACUAUUAGAUAUAUGACACAUAUGCAAAAUUUAGAGUUUAAAAUUCAAAAUUUGCUCAUUUGUCAUUCAUCCAACCAUAAUAAGUAUAUAUACUGACGGUGUACAUAAAAUUUACUUUUCUUUCUAAGGUAGAAUAUUUCCUUUUUAUUUGUUUAAUUAUUAAAAAACGAAUUUCCAAAUUCCAGCACUAGCCUUGACUUUCUUAUUUCUAAAUUGAAGACGAAAGAGAUCAUUCUUAUACAAAAAUUGAAUAUUGCUAAUAUAAAUAUGGACUAAAUUCUUCUACGUGAGAGCCUAAAAUACCAUUGAAUUCAAAUAUUUUAGCACUAUGUGUUAUUAAAAAGAAGGCAAAUGGUAUUUGCAUUCCAAAAUAAUUCUCUGGCACUUCACUUUCUUUUAAUAAAUAAAGUCAGAAAAACUAUUUUUAGAGUGUAAAUAUCAUUUAUUUACCUUAAAAAAGGUGAAUAAGAUACAUAUCACUCUAUCAUCCAUUUAUAGAUCAUAUGGCAACUUUAGCAAUAAAUAAAUAAACAAAUGUCAACUUUAUAGCCACAGUCUCUAUUUUAUUCUUUCUCUGUGAUCAAUCAGUCACUUGUCAUUGAUACGAUUCAAUCUCAAUCCCAAACUUAUGGAUAAUUAGCAAAUCAUGUCUACCGCCGCUGGCCAUUUGGUCCAGUGGCCAUCACCCUCUUUGGUGAUGUUGGAGGUCAGAGUUCUACCUCUACCUUCCUCAAAUUUGCUACAAUAUGUGAUUGGUCUUAGUUGACUAUCUCCCCUUACCCCUUCCCUCUAGAUUAGGCUAGAUUAGGUUAUAGAACAUCUACCGUUACAGACAGAAAAAAAAAAAAAAAAAGCAAACCAUGUCUACCUAAAAAAUUCUUGGAUGAAAAAUUAACCAUGAAAAUGAAUCAAAGGUUGAUGUUUCCUUGAUAUAUUAUAGCUGAUUAUGUUCUUCCUAAAUUUUUAUUUUUAUUUUUUUAAAAAUUCCCACAUUCUUCCCUGAGAACAUUUUCGUUGAGGACAGUGUCUUGUAUAGGUAAUUAGUUAUGUUCAUCAUUCAUUUUAAAUUUCUUCAUGAUUGUAUUGUUUGAUCUUUUCUACAUAUUGUUGCACAUGAUCAUAUUUCUUGAUGUCCCUUUUCUAAUUGUUAUGUGCUUUUCUGAAGGUGAUUAACUCCAGACAAGGGGUAAUUCAGCUAUCUUAGUCAAUAUAUAUAUAUAAUAUAAAAUCUUCUAAUGUAAUUUUUUUUUUAAUGGUUAAACAAAUUGCUAUAGCUAGGCAUCUCCGUUUAGAGAUUUGUUACAGUAUGCUGAUCCUUUUGUUUGAACAUUGUGGAGUACAAUUUCAUGCACAGAAUCAUAAAAAUCAAGUCAACUGUGGGAGCAGAAAAGGAAACAUUCUCCUCAUUGUUGAUUCAUUCCCUGAUCAGCUGACUACAUACAAGAAAUAGAAGUCAUGAAAACUUUGCCCAGCUCUUCCUCUUGAUUAUUGAGUGGAGUGCAAAAUUUUUAGGACUUCUGGA
rnacentral:lncRNA from 1 species